rnacentral:rRNA from 1 species
GACGAACGCUGGCGGCAUGCCUAACACAUGCAAGUCGAACGAGACCUUCGUGCUUUGUUGCGCACGUCUGCGUACCGCGUGGGAACCUGCCCGUAGGUUCGGUAUACCUGCCCGAGAGGUAUCCUCAUGACAGUUAAUCUAUUAGGGCCAAGGAUGUCUUGCGUUUGGAUGGGCGCUGGUUGGUUUCGCCGGUUGGUAGGGUAAUAGCCUAUCAAGGACAUGUUGCUUGGCUGGUGUGAUAGGAUGAUCAGCCACGCUGGGACUGAGACACGGCCCAGACUCCUACGGGAGGGAGCAGAGGGGAAUAUUGGACGAGGGACGAAAGCCUGGUCCAGCAAUGCGGCGUAAGUGAGGAAGGGCUUAGGGUUGUAAAGCUCUUUUACCCGGGAUGAUAAUGACAGUACCGGGAGAAUAAGCACCGGCUAACUACGUG